UAAUACGGGAGUUUUUAGAAAACCCUAGCCGCCAUCUCUCUUCUCCUCUCUCUUCCAUAUUCUAGCAAAAAGACGUCCUUUGCAAGGAAACUAGCACCUCGGUGAGGAUAUCGAUCAAAUCAUCAACCUCGUGUGGAUACCUAUAGAGGCCGGACGCGUGUGCGGCUUCAAGAGAACCCAAUUCCACGAUCAUCAAGUUGAGGUGAAGAUUUAUCCACGAAAAAGGUAAAGAUUCGAUCUUGUUUUUCUUCUUUAAUCUUAAAGAACAUGAGGAAUCCUAAUUGCGUGGUUUUUGAGAUUGGAUCUCGAGAGUUUUCAAAAAUCAAAUUUGUU
rnacentral:lncRNA from 1 species